AAUUUGACCUCAAUAUUAUUUUUUUUCUGGUAAAUCAGAGUAUGCUGGAACCUGAAAUAUUUUUCCAUGUAAGCAUUUCUGGGCUGGACUUAAUUCACUUCUAAAUCUUUGUCUGAAUAAAUAAAAUAGACUAACAUUCUUAAAUCUUAAUCUGUCAGGUCUGUUUUACGGACACUGAGUCAUGCUUAUAAACCUUUCCUGAAUAUGCUCCAGUUUCUCAAUGAUCUUUCUGAAGCAAGGACAUGAGAUCUAUACUCUCAUAAUACCUCUUUCCUGUUUUGGUUACCUCUUCUUUCUGCAGUCAAGGAUGGCACUCAAAAGUUUAGCUGCUGUGCUGCCACAGGACCAUACGCUUGUAUGGCUGCCUUGUAUGACUUCUACAUAGGAGACCUGGAGAAAAGACAAUAGCACUGCACAAGCCUCAGAGAAUGCAUGAGUACCUACACCACCAUCCAUCCCUUCCUGCAGCAUGUGGCGAUGCACACAGCACUGGGAUAGAUAUUUCUAUGCCCACUAAGACUGUAUUUGCCACUGCGACACAGAAUUGAAAGAUUAAUAUGCCACCCCAGUAUUUCCAUCUGAAUGUCAUUGUAGUGCCAAUAGACUCAUUUCAAACUAUCUGUUGGGAACAAGAUGUACAAAAAGGGACAGAGAUCUGCUGUCUGUCUAGUGUUGACAGAUGCCACACUCCGAUGUGAAGUUCCUUACUUGGCCCAGCCAGCACCGGUUCAUGAAAGGCAGGUCAUACUUGACUAACCUCAUCUCCUCCUACGACUGCGUGACCAGACUGGUAGACAAGGCAAAGGCUGUAGAUAUAGUCUACCUAGACUUCAGCAAAGCCUUUGACAUGGUCUCUCACAGUAUUCUCCCGGGGAAACUGGCUGCCUGUGGCCUGGACAGGUAUACCCUUCUUUGGGUAAGAAACUGGCUAGAGGGCCAUGCCCAAUGGGUAGUGGUUAAUGGAGUUAAGUCCAGCUGGUGACCCAUUACAAGUGGUGUCCCCAGGGAUCAGUACUGGGGCCCAUCCUGUUUAAUAUAUUUAUUGAUGACCUAGAUGAAGGGAUUGAGGGUACCCUCAGUAAGUUUGCAGAUUACACCAAGUUGAGAGGUGGUAUCGAUCUGCCUGAGGGUAGAAAGGUGCUUCAGAGGGAUCUAGAUAAGCUGGAUCUCUGGGCUGAAGUUAAUGGGAUGAGGUUCAACAAGGCCAAGUGCCAGGUCCUGCACUUUGGCCACAAUAAUCCCAUGCAGUGCUACAGGCUUGGGGCUGACUGCCUGGAGGACUGUGAAGAGGAGAGAGACCUGGGGGUCUUGGUUGAAGUUCGGCUGAACACAAGCCGACAGUCUGCUCACACAGCCAAGAGGGCCAAUGGCAUCCUGGCCUGCAUUAGAACUAGCGUGGCCAGCAGGAGCAGGGAGGUAAUCAGCUCCUGUACUCAGCACUGGUGAGGCCGCACCUCAAGUAUUGUGUUCAGUUUUGGGCCCCUCACUACAAGAAAGACACUGAGGCCCUGGAAUGUCUCCAGAGAAGGGCAGUGAAACUGGUGAAGGGUCUGAAGCACAAGUUUUAUGAGGAGCAGGUAAGGGAGCUGGGAUUGUUCUGUAUGGAGAAGAGGAGAUUCAGAGACCUCAUUGCACUUUAUAACUUCCUGAAGGGAGGUUGUGAUGAGGAGGGAUUUGGCAUUUUCUCCCAGGCAACAAACAGAACCCAAGGAAAUGGCCACAAGUUGUACCUGUGGAGGCUUAGGUUAGACAUAAGGAAAAACUUUUUCUCUCAGAGAGUGGUCAGGCACUGGAAUGGCCUGCCCAGGGAGGUAGUGGAGUCACUGUCCCUGGCAGUGUUCAAGAGGUGCCUGGAUGAGGAGCUGCAAGAUAUGGUUUAGUGGCUUGUGGUAGCAGUGGUGAUGGGUGUACAGUUGGACUAUAUGAUCUUGUAGGUCCUUUCCAACCUUGAGAUUCUAUGAUUCUGUGAUUCAGUCAGGUGUAUGCUGAGCUGUCAAGGUCACACACUACUCCCUGCCCUUGCUGUAAAACUGUUAGCAGAUGCAAGUCAAUUACUCAGAGCAUCUGUAGCUUCCAUCUAUUGUUUUCUCUUCUUCUUACCUAACAAAACAUUUGAAUAACAAACAGACUAAGCCAUUUUCCUCAAUUACUAAUGCAUGUGGCUCACCUGGUGUUUGUAUUCCUGGGCUUGGCUCUGUUGUCGUUUUUCUUCUGAUUGGGAUAUUUACAAAAAUUGGAUGACAGGAAGAAAUUUAGCUAGGCUUGUACCAAGAGCUCAAAGACUGAAGCAUAGCUUUUUAAAGGCCUUAAAAAGAGAAUUGCUAUGUUAUCAAUGCUGACACCUCUCUCUAGCAGAGAGCUUUAACAGUCCAUAAGGUUCCAAUUUGUUGUUGUUUUUUUUUUUUAAAUCCUUAUUUAGAAAAUUAACAUGGUUAAUUUGAAAAUAGUAGUGGGUAAUACUAAGCAACCUUUCCAAAAGAACAUCUUACCUAAGACAACCAAAUGAAAAGGUGAACAGAAGAAAAAAAAUUUCAAUCUUCUGUUCCUUAGCUGCACAGUUUAGAAAGCAGAAACAUGUAAUCUCCAACUACUGUAACUGAUAAAUAGGGUACGAAACAGCUGGUCAGCAUAUUUUGGGACAGAUUUUUCUGCACACUUUUGCAGCCGUGUGCCAAGCACUGAGAAGACACAGUCAACCAGGUCCUCCACAUGCGUACAUAGGCCUAUUUACAGUCAAAUCACCAAAGCUGUACUGUGACACUCAAAAAAGACCUGGUUGAUCACUAGCAUGUAUUUCAAAUGUGAGCUGUUUUGUGCUUGAAGUUCUGAAGGAGAGAGAGGAAUAUCUUUAAAGAAAAAAGUAAUUGUAGUAAAUGAUAGAAAUAUCUCUGAAGUUCUCAGGUUUAAGCUCUGUCUAUCCAGGCUAGACUUCCACAUCUUGCACCUCCCCCGUACAAUUGGAACAGGGCAGCCACGUCAAAGCCACUUCUGAAGAGCCCUCCUGGGGCCCCUUGGCUGCUUCUGCAAAAAGGGUUACUGUAUAAGUGGGGGGCUCCCUGCUCACUGCAGCACUGUCCUGCAGUCCAAGCAGUGUGGCUUCAUUGACUUUCAAAGAGCUGCUUUAGGUCUACACAGGAUUAGGGUGACCAGGAUGGAAGCAUUCAAAGAAUGAUCAGUUUUACUUAAUGCUGAUGUUACUCAUAUCAUCACACAGAUCUGAGCCAGCAGUCACUGCCUGCUCCUUGCAGGCCAGAGCCAGGAGAUGAAGUAGCCAGAAGUAGCCCAGGGGGCAUCAGAUUCAGUCCCAGGGAUUUAGAAGCCAAGGUGUAAUCUAGCAAACAUGCUACUUUAACCAAGUGCCAUAUGCUUUUUCAUUGUUUUCCUUUUGCAAAAUCAGCUUAUAAGUCAUUUUUACUUUCCCAUGUAGAUCUAACAUAUUCUCGAGCCCUUAGAAAGGAUUCUAUCAGCUUCACAAAGGUUUGAAUCAUACCUUUAGCAACCCACCCAUGGAAAAAAAUGAGGAUAAAAAGAAAGCAGAGGCUGUUUCUUUCUUCCCUUACAGAUUUGUAAAGAAAGAAAAAAAAAGUUGGAUUUUUUUUCUCUUUUCUAUGCUAGAAUCAGGCACAGAGCUCCGAGCAAAGUUCAAUGCCGGCAUCCCACUCUGGGGGUGCCUACACUUUAAAAUCCUUCCCUAUCAGACAAGAUACCAAAGGACACCUUUGGAUUUCUUCUUUGGUAAAAAUGAGAUGUCUGGGCAGCAGGCGGGGGGGGGGGGGGCAGUUGCAUGUACAUAUAUCUGACUGACACAGAGAGAAAUGUUUUCACAAGUAAUGGCUAAGGGUGAGAAGAGGCUGUUCACCUCCUGUACAGUCAACAAAUAUACAAUUAGCAGAGUGGCAUGGUUAGGCUGGUAUUUUACAGAUCAUGUAACUAGAAUGAUUAUCAUGGUAGAAAAAGAUAAUCAAAAAUAAAUGAAAUGCUCACCCAUGCCCUAGGUUCACAGAAAAAACUCCACAGGGAGCAAUCCCCAGAAAGAGAUCCUCCUGUUAGUCAGCCCUUAAAUAGGGUCUAGGAGAGGUGGAACCAGGCUCCACUCCUUCCAGUCACACAGGUGAUUUGCCUUCACCUGUGCCCCCAUGGCUGACCCAGCCCUUGCCUCAGGUGAUCCACCAGUGGUUCAGGCCAUGAUUCAACAGUUCCCAUACACCUAUCUGCAUUGUUCAUCUGCCGCUUGUGUGCUUAAGAGGGCACAUUUGUUUUAGAUGACAAGUUCAACACAAGUCUAGGGGAGAGCUGUUUUCUUCUCCCAGCACAGACACAGUGUACACUUUCACAUGUCCUACAUCUCAGAGCAAUAAGAUACUCUGGGGCAAGUCGCCUUCUUGAUCAUCCAUCCUCAGGACAGCAUUGUUACCCAUGGAGCAGUUAACCAGAGUGCCUUGAUGUUCACUCAGUGUGGUCUUGUAGGUGGAUGUGAAUCCAGGCUAAGUGAGGGACCUUGGACACACAGAAGCUAUAGUUACUCCCUGUUAUAUAAUAAUAUUUGUAUUUACAGGAUGAACAGGAGGCCUGAGCAUCUGUGUAUGAUUUACUGAUUACUGACCUAUUAAAUAUUUGUUGCUAGGGAAUACAGCAAUUGUGAUGUCACACAAUGAAAGUGCUCUGGUUGUAAAAAUCACCUUUAUACUACUUAUAGUGCAAGGAAUUUCAUAGUUUCCAAAUCCACUUAACCACCUAAGUAAUAUUCUUUAACAUGAGAAUCCAAUUCAUUUUGCACUUUAGUAGGUAAAUGCAGUGAAAAUUUGAGACAUAGCAGCAGGCAUUGCAUUUGUAGCUAAUUAAGGAAAACUGGAUUGAGCCCAGAUGUGGAUUAUGCAAAGUGAUUACUGGUGUUCCUUAGAAGCUGAUAAUUUUGAAAGCAUUUCCUUGUGUUUGUUCACUUUUUAAGUGUGCCAAGAUAAAAAAGCUUCUGAAGGGGGAAAAACAGGCUUCCACAGAAUAAAGCUAUCAAUGGCAAUUAUUUCCAUCGUUUCAAAUUGAUGUAUAUGGUAGUUAAUGAUCAGGUUGCAGCCAUUCUUUAAACCAAAAUCUGCCACUGAGAUUUCCAAAUUGAGUGCAGCAAAAAAGUUUUCAGCUACUGAAAGUUAAUAAAUGUAGGGCUUGGCACCCACUCCAAUUCCCACUGGAGCAAUUUGUGACAUAAUGAUAUUUCAUUUUUGUUCUGGAAAAAAAGACAACAUAAUAAAUGUUAAUUGUUAAAGAUAAGACCGUGUUAUGUCUAAUUCCACCAAACAGCAGAGUGAACAAAGCUGCUAAUGGAGGACAAAGAUAGUCCACCUGAGGAAAAGAGGCAGAAUCUGGCUUCCUAGAAGCAAAAGAAUGAUAGCACUAUGUCCGGAUCUUUAAUACAGCAUUAAGAGAUACAAAAAACUUACUAUGUAAAUAAGGAACACAAUGGUUUUAAAUUUCUUUUUGACAUAAACUGAUUUUAAUAUUUUUGAUAAGUUAUCAAAUAUCCAUCAGAAGCCUGGGGGAAGAAACUGCCAGAAAAAUAUAGGCAGAUUGAAGCUUGAAUUUAUACUGUUUUUGUGGUGGGAAACUUGCCCAAAUGUUUGAUUUUACAAAGCUGACAUGUGGUUUGGCAGUAUCCACAGAAGCUUCUGCUUUCUCUCUUUCUUUUCUUUUCUUUUUUUUUUUUUUAAUUUGUAUUGAUCUUGUUAAAUGCUAAUGAUUCAGUAUAACUCAGCUUUAGACACUUUCCAAUUAAAAAUAGUGCCAUUCUGCAGUGCAGCCAUUAUAAAUUUAUAUGAUUUUUAAACACAAUAUGCCUCUCCUGGGUCUUUGUAAUCAGCUUUUGAACUAUUCUUCUCUAUUUGUUAUAAUUAUGUUGACAAAUAUUGCAGCAUACAAAAUAUAUUUUGGUGGUGAAACAGAAUAGACAGAAUUUUCCAUUUCCAUUCUGUCUUGUUUGCACUAAACUGGACACUCAUAUUUUCUGUUUCUGUUCCUAAAGAUAUUUACACCAUUUACUAUCGUGCAAGCAAAAGGGAAAAUUUUCACUCUGCACUUUCUCAGGCUGUUGUCCCUCAUCCACAGCUCUCAUCAGUCACAUUCAGCCCACAGAUGCUGAAAGCAGACAUGAAGGGGUAGAUACACUCACACAGCUCACUGCAACAUGGACAGUGGUGCUGCCUAGGCAGCCUCUGCCUGGAAAACUUUGCAACCAAGGCAAUAGGUGGGAAAUGGGAUGCAGACAGACAGUGAGUGCAGGACAGCACUUCUCAGCGUCCCAGAAGUUCACCUACUCUCAGCCUUUUGGAGGCACCAGGGAAAAGGAUGGUCUUGAAAGAAAACAAGGAUGUUUUGGAGCUGUUUCCCACAAUUCUCCUUGAACAAGAGAAUGAUAUCAGAAGAGAAAGCUCAAAGGCACUUGUUGGUUGUUUAGGAAAGUGUUGAAAACCUAGUCAGCUGGGAAACUUUCAGUUAGUCUGGACAAGAUAAACGUGUGGUAGGACAGGAUCGUGGGGAAGAAGGCUGUUGGGUGUUGGUAACUGUUUCCUUUAGUAACUCUAUUAAGGGGGACACCAGUGGACACAAAUAAUUGAAGUUGCAUACUAUAGAUUUUUGUUAAGAUUCAGAGCAAUAUCAAGCUGUGUAAAAGAUGUGUUAUCAACACGGAUUUCAUUAUAUCAAUUGAAACCCAAACAGAGGCAUUAAAAAAAAAAAAAAAAAAAAAAAGUGACAGGAUAGUAGAUAAUUUUUGCACACAGGCCUGACCUAUGUUUAAUCAAAGUGAGUAAGGACAAAAACACGGCAGCCUUCAAGAACUAUAUUUCAUCUGUGAACCUAACUAUUGUCCUGAUUUUGCUGAACUCACAGAACUGUACAGACAAAACAUUCUUCAUUAAACAGGGAAAUUAUACACUGCAUUCAGCAGCCUGAUAUGGAGCUAUUAUCUUAUAUACAGACAUGUGCUGUUUUUCUGUGUACUCACAAAACAUCUGCUGUCUUCUUUGCUUAAAUUUUGGCCUCAGGAGAAAGCAGCUUUUAUUUUCUCAGCAAAAUAUUCCUAAACAUAGCAAGAAAUAUGGGAAAAUAAGUUGCUAUCUAUGUGCAUGCAAUGAAGAAAUAAGCCUGUCUAUAAAGGUAAUAUUUUCUUCCAGCCCUAUUAUUAAAGCCUUGAUUGUAAGUUCUCUGGCCUAUUUUUCAUUUCUUAUGGUGUUUGAAGUUUUAAAAGCAAUUAGCAACAAAGACUCAUAGAGGCAAAGUUGAUUUUAAACCUUUCCAGUUUCAGUAAUCUACAGAAGUGUCAAUAACUCACGUUAAGAUGUUUCUAGGAGUACAUAAGAAAAAUACUAUUCUGCUGCCCAUCCCAGCAAUCCCAGAACAUAACUCCUGAUUAGUGUUUUGAUAGCGCUUCUGGAGACAGGCUGAAGCAUCAACAAGUUUGCUACAUACAGCUCUUAAAAACAUACAUACCUUUAAUGGUAAUUUCCAGAGUAUUACUGCAGGACAAUAAAGCAAAUAUCCUUCACAUGAUUUGGCCUUUUCAAAGAUUUCUUUGGACGUGGUAUCAUCACAGAUGCUAACAGUUUCUUAACAGUCUUUCAGUUUCUUAGUCAGAGACCUUUUUAAGUAAAACAAAGCUGUGGUUUCCCUCUGGCUUCAAGGUUGUCAGCAAAAAUUCUACAGAACUCAACAUAGUGUGAGUGCAGUCCUGAAGUAUUUGUCGCCUUCUAACUUUUAUUCUCCAGUGUGUACUGGGAGCAUCUGUAAAGGAGGAGUGGAAUGCUCUCUGAGGGCCAUGAUGGGAGCCCCCCAGCCUCUCCAGCAGCGCAUGUUAUCUGCAUUUCAGAGGUGUGUCCCAUCACUGACCUCAAUACAACUUCUCACUACAGUGCUCUGCAUUAGGAGACCCAUCAGCACUGUGCUCACUUUUUCAGCUCCAAUGCUCCUCCCAGUGCCCAUCUCUCACCUGCUGGGCACCACUGAGUUUUCUCCCCAGGCCUUGCUAAACUGUGAUUUUGGAUGGUUCCAUCUCAAAACCAGGAAGCUGACCAGAUUUGUUUGAAAAUGGGACUAGUUUCAUUCAAACCACGUCAUAAACUUCAACAGAGUCUGGAUUUUGACUUUCUUGUGCAACUUGAAACCACAUGUGUUCCACAUGCUUUAGGGUUUUGUCGUGAAUAUCUUACAUAGCUCUCUGGGAAUAACCUUUUCUUGUGGGCUUUUAGCAUUUCCUAUCCCAGCCAGAACCAUAAAAAGCAAAGACUGGAAAAUAUGAAAACUGAAAUUAUGUGGGAAAAGAGAGGACUUAACUUUUUAAGCCUCAGACAAAGUUUGUGUUCAUUUAGAGCUCAGAGUAAAGUUUUGAAUUAAUCCAUGUUUUAUUUAAACUGUUAGCCUUAAUUAGGUGCACUCACAAGAAAUCACUUCCGCUCCAAUACAAAAUCAUGGAGCUUGCAACACAUGGAAAUUAUAAACACUUCGGAGUGACAUGAGGGAUGGGUGUUGGCUCUGCAGCAGCAGAAGAGCAAAUAUUUACAGUACAUUAGGCUUUGCUUCGCUCCUAAAUUAUUAUCUUCCCCUCUGGAAUAAUCUAUUUUCCAAAGACGGAUAGAUACUAGUGCCAGUUCCCUCCCCAUCAGUUCUGUGACAGGCAAUUCUUUUUCCUUUAUUUCUAUAUUGAACUUUCUUGUUCUAGCUCUCCACAGAGCUAAAUGAGAACUAAGAAAAUUCUUAGUUUGCUGUCUCUUUUGUCCCUGAAUCACGCUUGAGCCUCUGGCAAGUUAUUAUACUCCUCUGAGCUUCAGGUUUCUCUUUUUCAAAAUAAAGAUACCAAAAGUUAACCUCUUAACAGAGGUGUUAAUUCAUAUCCAUAAGAGGACUUUAAAAUAGAAAGUGAUAUAUAAUGUUAAUUAGUCAUAUUAUGGCUGCUUAUUCCAAAAGCCCAAAGAAGCUGUUACUUUACAGAUUACUUAAGUUAAUGCUAAAAUAUUCCCAUCUUUGGUCUCACAGGACUCAGCUACGGAAAGUUAAAUACAAUGAAAGAAACACUACGGCAUAAAGGGGAAGAAAUAAUUACACAUAGCAUUUUUAUUCCCCUGGUAUAAAUCUGCAGUGCAUGAUGUGCUGUUAGGUUCUGCAGUAAAUGUACAACAACCUGGCUUUGCGCUUACAAUAGCUAAAACCAUCUGCGUACAUGUAAAACCUUUGCUGGCAGGUUUCCAUGUGUGGUUCAUGCAUUCCUUUGCCUGUGCAAUUUGAAGCUGUCAAAAACUAAUUAAAUAAUUAUGUGGUUGUUACUGCAGCUGUGUGUAUUCUUCAUUACGCUAUAAGGCUGCGGUUUGAGGCACUCUCCUGCUCUGGGUUUCAAAAUAUUAGUAAUGGAAGGUGUGUUGUUGGUGCAUGUUCUGCUGCUGCCAGAAAAAGCAGAGAGGGAAGGGAACCAUCUUUAAUAUAAGUUUGUCACUGCACUUUUUACUCUAUUUUCCCAGUACACAACACAGAGGUGGAAAUAAAAGUUAGCUCCUUGCAGCAGACAGAAUUCUGCACGGCCUGCCCUGCAUGCAAGAUCUCGGGAAAUCCCUGCAGGGCCUCUCUGGCAGGUGUGUGACCAAAGAGCAGCUCUGCAGUGCUGCCAGGCCUGCAGAGGUGGACUGUGAGUUGACAGCAGGAGGGUGAGACCAUGGUCUCUUCCUAGACCAGGCCCAGGCCACUCUUGGCCCUGCUCCUGACUCAGCGCCAAGGACCCCUCCUCCCUGUCACUGAAUUAGGG
ensembl:lncRNA